rnacentral:rRNA from 1 species
AACGUAGGAGACGAGCGUUAUCCGGAUUUACUGGGCGUAAAGCGUGCGUAGGCGGUGUCUUAAGUUUGUUGUGAAAUCUCCCGGCUUAACCGGGAGGGUGCGGCGAAUACUGAGAUGCUGGAGUGCCGGAGAGGUAAGCGGAAUUCCUGGUGUAGCGGUGAAAUGCGUAGAUAUCAGGAGGAACACCUGCGGUGUAGACGGCUUACUGGACGGUAACUGACGCUGAGGCACGAAAGCGUGGGUAGCAAACAGG